AAGAAAGUGGCAGAGUGGUUAUGUGGCUGGCUUGAAAUCAGCACACGGGGGUUCGAUUCCUCCCUUUCUCG
rnacentral:tRNA from 2 species